AUUUCUUUCUCACUUCUAGCUGCAUCCUCGAUGUUAAUGGGUAAAGUUGGCAUGGCUUUGCUGAUACAAUGGAGCUUCCUGACUUGAACUUCAACCUGCUGUGUGGUGCCUUUGAUGGGAACAGAAGGUACAGAAACGAGGCCUUGAACAUCGAUAAUGGACUCGCGGCUCAACCCGGCCACGAACUUCACCAUUUGCCGGCUAACGAACUCAGGCUGAGCAGUAACCACGCACUGCACAGUGAAACCCUUCUGUCUAACCACCACAAAGGCCAUAUUCUUACCCACAGCACGAGUCGUCUGGGCGCGGCCCCUUAUCAACACCUCCUUAUCCUUCAACCCCUCGCUUAGGUCCCCGACUCUGGUCCACUCGCUGAGAUCGGUCUCCUCCUUCGACUGGAGCUCAUACAGCGGCACAUUACCGUAUUUGGCGGCCAACGGAUCUUCCUCU
rnacentral:misc_RNA from 1 species